GACGAACGCUGGCGGCGUGCUUAACACAUGCCAGUCGAACGGAAAGGCCCUGCUUUUGUGGGAUGCUCGAGUGGCGAACGGGUGAGUAACACGUGAGUAACCUGCCCUUGACUUUGGGAUAACUUCAGGAAACUGGGGCUAAUACCGGAUAGGAGCUCCUGCUGCAUGGUGGGGGUUGGAAAGUUUCGGCGGUUGGGGAUGGACUCGCGGCUUAUCAGCUUGUUGGUGGGGUAGUGGCUUACCAAGGCAUUGACGGGUAGCCGGCCUGAGAGGGUGACCGGCCACAUUGGGACUGAGAGACGGCCCAGACUCCUACGGGAGGCAGCAGUGGGGAAUAUUGCACAAUGGGCGGAAGCCUGAUGCAGCAACGCCGCGUGCGGGAUGACGGCCUUCGGGUUGUAAACCGCUUUCGCCUGUGACGAAGCGUGAGUGACGGUAAUGGGUAAAGAAGCACCGGCUAACUACGUG
rnacentral:rRNA from 1 species